rnacentral:rRNA from 1 species
CUCACCAAGGCAAUGAUACGUAGCCGACCUGAGAGGGAGAUCGGGCACACUGGGACUGAGACACGGCCCAGACUCCUACGGGAGGCAGCAGUAGGGAAUCUUCCGCAAUGGACGAAAGUCUGACGGAGCAACGCCGCGUGAGUGAAGAAGGUUUUCGGAUCGUAAAACUCUGUUGUUAAAGAAGAACAAGGAUGAGAGUAACUGCUCAUCCCCUGACGGUAUUUAACCAGAAAGCCACGGCUAACUACGUGCCAGCAGCCGCGGUAAUACGUAGGUGGCAAGCGUUGUCCGGAUUUAUUGGGCGUAAAGCGAGCGCAGGCGGUUCUUUAAGUCUGAUGUGAAAGCCCCCGGCUCAACCGGGGAGGGUCAUUGGAAACUGGAGAACUUGAGUGCAGAAGAGGAGAGUGGAAUUCCACGUGUAGCGGUGAAAUGCGUAGAUAUGUGGAGGAACACCAGUGGCGAAGGCGACUCUCUGGUCUGUAACUGACGCUGAGGCUCGAAAGCGUGGGGAGCAAACAGG